UACAGAGGUCCCAAGCGUUGUUCGGAUUCACUGGGCGUAAAGGGUGCGUAGGUGGUCUCGCAAGUCUGAUGUGAAAUCUCCGGGCUUAACCCGGAAAUGGCAUUGGAAACUGCGGGGCUAGAGUGUUGGAGGGGGGACUGGAAUUCUCGGUGUAGCAGUGAAAUGCGUAGAUAUCGAGAGGAACCCCAGUGGCGAAGGCGAGUCCCUGGACAACUACUGACACUGAGGCACGAAAGCUAGGGGAGCAAACAGG
rnacentral:rRNA from 1 species